rnacentral:rRNA from 1 species
CCUACGGGUGGCAGCAGUAGGGAAUCUUCCACAAUGGGCGAAAGCCUGAUGGAGCAACGCCGCGUGUGUGAUGAAGGCUUUCGGGUCGUAAAGCACUGUUGUAUGGGAAGAACAGCUAGAAUAGGAAAUGAUUUUAGUUUGACGGUACCAUACCAGAAAGGGACGGCUAAAUACGUGCCAGCAGCCGCGGUAAUACGUAUGUCCCGAGCGUUAUCCGGAUUUAUUGGGCGUAAAGCGAGCGCAGGCGGUUUGUUUAGUCUGAUGUGAAAUCCCCGGGCUCAACCUCGGAACUGCAUUUGAAACUGGGUAACUUGAGUGGCGUAGAGGGGAGUUGAAGUCCAUGUGUAGCGGUGGAAUGCGUAGAUAUAUGGAAGAACACCAGUGGCGAAGGCGGCUUACUGGACGGCAACUGACGUUGAGGCUCGAAAGUGUGGGUAGCAAACAGGAUUAGAUACCCUUGUAGUC